UACGGAGGGGGCAAGCGUUGUUCGGAAUUACUGGGCGUAAAGGGCGCGCAGGCGGCUGCUCAAGUCAGGCGUGAAAGGCCUGGGCUCAACCCGGGAAUUGCGCUUGAGACUGGGCUGGCUUGAGUGCGGGAGAGGAUGGUGGAAUUCCCAGUGUAGAGGUGAAAUUCGCAGAUAUCAGGAGGAACACCGGUGGCGAAGGCGGGUCUCUGGGCAACAACUGACGCUGAGGAGCGAAAGCGUGGGGAGCGAACAGG
rnacentral:rRNA from 1 species